GGCGGCAUGGCCAAGUGGUAAGGCAGGGGACUGCAAAUCCUUUAUCCUCAGUUCGAAUCUGAGUGUCGCCUGAUCAACAAA
rnacentral:tRNA from 1 species